rnacentral:rRNA from 1 species
AUUGAACGCUGGCGGCAGGCCUAACACAUGCAAGUCGAACGAGUGGCGGACGGGUGAGUAAUGUCUGGGCAACUUCCCGAUGGAGGGGGAUAACUACUGGAAACGGUAGCUAAUACCGCAUACUAUCAGAUGUCCCCACAUGGGCUUAGCUUGUUGGUGGGGUAACGGCUCACCAGGGCGACGAUCCCUAGCUGGUCUGAGAGGAUGAUCAGCCACACGGGGACUGAGACACGGCCCAGACUCUUACGGUAGGCAGAAGUUGGGAAUAUUGGACAAUGGGCGGAAGCCUGACGCAGCAAUGCCGCGUGUCGGAAGAAGGCCUUCGGGUCGUAAAGGACGUUUAGCAGGGAGGCGGUACCUUAAGAAGAAGCCACGGCUAACUCCGUGCCAGCAGCCGCGGUAAUAC